rnacentral:lncRNA from 1 species
GCAGCCGCUGUGUGAAGUUCCCAGCACACACUCCUCGGCUGCUGCUCUGCACUGUCAAUUGUGGGUGAGCCAGGACAACAACAAGGAGAGGGAUCCCAUUUUGCCUUCUUAGAGAAAGGGCUGAGAAAUGAGCCGCCCAAGGAAUCUGGCAAGGAGAGGAGUGAAAGGCAGAUUCCUGCCAGCAGCUAAGUUGUAAAAUUGCUUUGGAGGCUACCCAGGGAGCGCGAUAGAAUUGAUAAGAGCAGCGCGCAAGCCGGGUUCCUGAGCAAAGGCAUGCCCGGCUGCACUUGAGUCUGGGCGGGCGCAGGAACGCUGCCUGCGCCUCCUGCAACUAUCUGUGGCUGGAAUAAAGGAAAAGAGCCUAGGAACACAAUUGCAAGGGGGAUUCCUGGACGGAAAAUACAUCUACCCUCAAAGGAGGGGAACAACAACCCAGCUGGCCUGUGUGCGUUUUUAGAAGGAGAAUCCCUCAGAUACAUCAUGAAGUUACAUGGACAUGAAAGCGCUGUAAAACUUCCCUUCCAGAAAGGUGGAGGAGCUAAGCUGGUGGAGUCCACAGACCCUUGACCUUCCACAGGAGCGCCAUCCACUUUCCUGCCCCUUCUGGUGAUUGAUGGCACCAGAGAACAGUGAUGCUGGCCUUGGGUUUACAGACUACCAUCCCAGUGCCUUGUUCACUUCCUUGGAUUAGAGAAACUCCCACUCAUUGCUCUCCAUGGUGGCCAGUCUCUUUAAGAGCUUGAUUUUAGCUUAUAUACAUAAGCUUUGCAAAGGAAUGUUUACAAAGAAAUUGGGAAAUACAACC